CGCCAGACAAAUGUACACACAAAUCGUCACCAACGGCACUAUCAGUGGCGCCUUUAUCAACUCCCACACCAUCCCAAUUUGCCCUCCAAUAUCUGCGAGAUCUUUAAGAAGGGACUGUUACUUCACUCACUCACUCGGCCAGCUAGUUUGUUGUGUGGCCUGAAAAUAGACGAGAGAGAAACAAGCAUGGCGGCAUUGCGGCAGUGUAGCCUGUAGAGAGAGAAGAGUGGAGCAAGUUAUGAGAGUCGGUGCCACUGAAAAAUUAAGAUUAUUUUAAGUAGUCAAUAUUUGGACUAUUGUUGCUAGUAAUAAAUUUUGGCUUUUUUUAUUACUCCA